UACGAAGGGGGCUAGCGUUGCUCGGAAUCACUGGGCUUAAAGGGCGCGUAGGCGGGCUGUCAAGUCUGGGGUGAAAUGCCGCGGCUCAACCGUGGAACUGCCUUAGAUACUGACGGCCUCGAGGAAGGUAGGGGCAUGCGGAACUGUAGGUGGAGCGGUGAAAUGCGUUGAUAUCUACAGGAACUCCGGUGGCGAAAGCGGCGUGCUGGACCUUUUCUGACGCUGAGGCGCGAAAGCUAGGGGAGCAAACGGG
rnacentral:rRNA from 1 species